rnacentral:rRNA from 1 species
AGUGAAGCGGCAACAGCUCAGAUUUGAAAUCUGGCCCUCUUCUGGGUCCGAGUUGUAAUCUGUAGAGGAUGCUUUUGGCGACGCGCCUUCCGAGUCCCCUGGAACGGGGCGCCAGAGAGGGUGAGAGCCCCGUAUGGUCGGACGCCGAGCCUCUGUAAAGCUCCUUCGACGAGUCGAGUAGUUUGGGAAUGCUGCUCAAAAUGGGAGGUAAAUUUCUUCUAAAGCUAAAUACCGGCCAGAGACCGAUAGCGCACAAGUAGAGUGAUCGAAAGAUGAAAAGCACUUUGAAAAGAGGGUUAAAUAGCACGUGAAAUUGCUGAAAGGGAAGCGCUUGUGACCAGACUUGCGCCCGGUUGAUCAUCCAGCGUUCUCGCUGGUGCACUCUGCCGGGCACAGGCCAGCAUCGGCUCUCCCAGGGGGAUAAAGGUCGCGGGAACGUAGCUCUCUCCGGGGAGUGUUAUAGCCCGCGGCGGAAUACCCUUAGGGGGGGUCGAGGCCCGCGUUCGCAAGGAUGCUGGCGUAAUGGUCACCAGCGACCCGUCUUGAAACACGGACCAAGGAGUCAAGCAUUAGGGCGAGUCUUUGGGUGUAAAACCCGCAGGCGCAAUGAAAGUGAACGGAGGUGAGAGCUUCGGCGCAUCAUCGACCGAUCCUGAUGUUCUCGGAUGGAUUUGAGUAAGAGCCUUACCGCUUGGACCCGAAAGAUGGUGAACUAUGCCUGAAUAGGGUGAAGCCAGAGGAAACUCUGGUGGAGGCUCGCAGCGGUUCUGACGUGCAAAUCGAUCGUCAAAUUUGGGCAUGGGGGCGAAAGACUAAUCGAACCAUCUAGUAGCUGGUUACCGCCGAAGUUCCCUCAGGAUAGCAGUGUUGUCUUCAGUUUUAUGAGGUAAAGCGAAUGAUUAGGGACUCGGGGG